rnacentral:rRNA from 1 species
CCUACGGGUGGCAGCAGUGGGGAAUAUUGCACAAUGGGGGAAACCCUGAUGCAGCGACGCCGCGUGAGUGAAGAAGUAUUUCGGUAUGUAAAGCUCUAUCAGUAGGGAAGAAAAUAACGGUAUCCGAAUAAGAAACCUCGGCUAACUACGUGCCAGAAGCCCCGGUAAAACGGAGGGGGCGAGCGUUAUCCGGAUUUUCUGGGUGUAAAGGGGGCGUAGACGGCAACAAAAGUCAGUUGUGAAACGCCGGGGCUUAACCCCGGAACUGCUCUGGAAACUGUUUAGUUGGAGUGCAGGAGAGGUAAGUGGAAUUCCUAGUGUAGCGGUGAAAUGCGUAGAUAUUAGGAGGAACACCAGUGGCGAAGGCGGCUUACUGGACUGUAACUGACGUUGAGGCUCGAAAGUGUGGGGAGCAAACAGGAUUAGAUACCCGGGUAGUC